rnacentral:misc_RNA from 1 species
CACAAAUUAAAAUAUUUUUAUUGCAGAAAAAUGGGUAUCCGAGCUGAAAAUUAUUGAUGAAUGUCAGUCUUCCAAUCAUGUAAAAUUUACAAUAUGAAUUGGAAAAAAGAUACCUGAACCCAGCUCUUUAGGCGUAAAGAAUGCGUCCACAUACCCGAACCCACUGCACGAAGAAGGGGGACUGUGAGGGGGAGGCAAGAUGUUUGAGGGCCACCUACACCAGGGGGAGGGAGCACCACUCCCUUCUGGAGCUACCAGCAGAGAUCCUGAACAAGAUUUUAGAAUAUAUUUCAUUUAAGGAACACGCAACAGUUCGACGGGUGUGCCGGAGAUUAAACGAGAUUGCAGCUGGUCGUCUUAAUUCGAUCUUCCAACAACUUCAAAACAGGAUGCUGGGACGCUUUCAGAUCAUAAAGGGACAAAUGCCUCGUCGUGAGAGCGCGCGUCGGAAUCACCCGUUGUCCCGGGAGUGCGACAUAGUGGAGACUCUUCACAUGCGCCUUACUCUGCUACAGAUGACCUUUGGGAAGCAUAUUGAGCGCAAGCAUAUAUGCUUCUUUCCAGGAGAGAUUCUCGACGAAGUAUUUCGAAUCCUGAGAUAUAUACAAAGCACCACUCUUCCCUUGGGCAGAGCGUACAAAGUUACUGAUGAACUAUUUGAUCUUUCCACAAUGGCAAUGGAGUACUUCAAGGAAAACAUUGAGUCGUCUCUCCCUGAGAUUACGUACUUUGGACAAGAUUUCCUGGAUUUUACUCCACCUUCCCCACUUAAGAAGUAUAAUAGAUCAGGAUGCGUGUCCGGUGGUGGUGGAGGAGGGGUGGACUCGCCAAUGUCGAGCCGUGCAAGUGCCGUGGGAUCUUCCUGCUCCGAGCCCCCACUCUCUUUCUCCCAAUUUGAAGGUGACUUGGAUGAAGUUGAAGGAGUAGAUGUUGGUGAAGGAGGUGAAGCCCCCCAGAGCAACAUGGUGCUCAGGAAGAGGAUUAAGAGGAUCAGAGCAGGGAUGAAGAAGUACAAUACACAGUUGGACGAAGUCAAGAGGGAACUUAAGUCAUGUAAGAGCAAGAUGGACUCCCAGACUAAGCAGGUUGCCGAGUACAGCAGUAGGCUGGACGAGUAUGACAAGAAGUUCGAGGAAAAUUCCAGGAAAUUUGGAACAUUACUCACAGAGUUAAACAAGUGUAAGACUGAACUUCAAUUCUACAGAUCCAGGGCUCAUUUGCAACAACACUGUCAAAACUGUGGAUCUAGUCUGACUGAUCAAGCCUCGGAUUCAGCCAACACCGACCAGGUAAGUUUUCCGAGCAUGGAGGGAGUUGAUAAACAAGCAAUGGUCGAGGAUUGGUUGAAUCCUGAGUCUGGAUACACAGGGCAGAGUCCUGGAUACAGGGCUACGGUACCUGAUACAGGAUACAGUAGUCCAGGAUACAGGGCAGCACCUGCAGGAUACAAAACUUGCUCAGGAUACAGAGCACAGAGCAUAGGUGGAGAGAGUUCAACGACCCUCUACUGCGCACCACCAGUACAAUAUUUCCGUCACAUUAACUCUACAAAUAUACAAAAAAUUUCCAAGACUGAAGAGGACGUAGGGUACCUGAAAACAGGUCCAGGCUCUCCUGGAUAUACACGAGGACGUCCCCGGUCCCCUGGGAGUCCCCGGUCCCCUGGUCCAGGGUCCCCUGGACCAUCAGGGGUUCGGAAGAGAAGGUCUAGGGAUGAGGAGGAGAAGAAGUGUACUAGAGGACACCACAUCAUCAAGGGAAAUCGACCCAAGCGACCCAAACAAGUUUGUCCAAACUAGAACACGUGUUUUAACAUCUUGGACUUGUGUUUACGGAUCUGGUGCACGUGUUGUAGGAUCCAGAGUUCCAUGGUUACAGGAACAGAUGUUCCUGGGAUAUGUGAAUCAGGAACUAAGACUAACUGGAUAAUUUAAUGCAUGAAUUAAAUACAAUAUCUAUUCUUAAACCAUGUGAUAAAAUUCUUUUUCACGUAAGAAGAACUAAGUUUACGAACACUAAACCUAUAACACGUGCAAUAGAAUCCAUAACGCGUGUUUCAAUGUUCUUGCAGGAUAUAUUAAACCUGUUUGCAUGAAUUAGAAUUUAGAACUUUCCUACUGAGGCUCUUUUUUUAUCCUCCAUUUAAAAUCCUGAGCAAAUACAAAUAUCUUCUUUUGUCGGCAUCGUUAAAAUGUCGUUUAUUGUCGGCAACGGGUCAUUGUUUGUCGGCAACAUACUUUCUUUUGUCGACAACAUGUCUUCGAUUGUCGGCUACAUGUCGUUUUUUUAGAAAUGAAUUGUAAGAGUAUUUGACAGAGAAGUAUAAAAAGAAUGUUUUGACAUGAAUUCCUUCAGCCAAAAUUAAUAUUAUCAAAAUUAAGAUUUCUAACAAUUUUAUUAUAUCAAGGGUUUUCCUCUAAAUUUAAAUUAUUUAUGCUUAAAAUACUUGUUUUUUCUUAUUAGGAUAAGAUUCAGGUUAGCUGACAUUGAGACUUAAUCCAAUUAAGGACUUUCUCUUAAAGAUAAAAGAAAAUAUAAUUCUGAAGAACCAAGAUAAAAGUUGGUUUAAUAAAAAAAUACUGUGGGGGGGGGGGGUAUUCAUCUUACUUUUUUAGCAGUGCCCUUAUGAUCCAUUGAUUUUAGAUGCGGAUUAGUCAGAAGAAAAAAUUUGUCUGGAUUCAGGUCUUAAAGAUAUUUUUUUUUGUAUGAACAUUUUUUUUCGCUGAAACUUGAUGAAUCAUUUAGAUAUUUCUUAGUUGAAAGGAUUUCGUUAUGAGACCGAAAGUUUUUUGGGUUGAUAUUUUUUUCCUUGGAUCCGGAUUGUAAACACUGCUUCUCUGUCUAAUUUUCUUCAAUUCUGAAUAAAUAUAAAUUUAAACUAAAUAUCUUUAAAGUGCUCUCACUCUUUUUUCUCGUAAGAUUAAAAUAUUUUUGAAACGUAACUUUAAAUGAAAUUAGUAAAAUCGUUUGCGUGAACCGUUGAAACAUAUUUAUUAUAUGACCAAAGCUGUAAAACUCCUCGGAACAAAAAAAUAUUUCAUAGAUUUAAAUUAUUUCUUUUUUUCAAAUCAGCCGAAGUCGUAAAUUGGAUUGACGAAAUGUAUAAAAACUAGAAAGUAUUAUUUUAUUUGGUGAUUUUCGAAUCUCUUAAAAGGGUAAAUUUGACGUAUCACCCCCUCCCCCUUCCAACCUUAUCGUUUAUGUUUAAGACUGAUAUUCUCAACGAAGCCCCCCCCCCCCCUUGAAUUAAAUAUUGAGUUAAACUCUUAUCUGAUUAUAUAUUUAAUAUACAGGGAUUUGCAAUAAACAUUAGAAUCUCGUGACUAUACUAAAACAGUAUAAAUUUGUUUGCUGAAGUUCUAGAUUUUAAAUAAAAGUAUGACAUUGACGGUCAAAAUUUAUUUCUUUAAAUUACAAAUAAAUGGAAUCAUCAAACUAAGUUUAGUGUCCGAAAAAAUUUGGUUAUUCCAUAAAUAAGAAAUUGGUCGCUUUAUUCCUUUGUUUACUGCCACUCCCUGUAUAAUAUACCAGUAGAAACUAACGUAGCAAAAACCAAGCCGUUCCAGGUUCAUGAUUAAAUAAUAUUUGUUCUCAUCUCCGUAACAUGUUGCUACAUGUUAAUGACUGAAAGAAAAUAAGUCCCAUAAAUUGUACAGCAACUAGUGUCGGUUUGUUUUUUGUUAUGAUAUUUUUCGCUUAUGAAUAAUUUAAUUGUGAAUUGAUAAAAGAUGUAUGUUUAUCUGAAAUAGAUUAUGUCCUUAAA